rnacentral:SRP_RNA from 1 species
GCCAGGCAAUGUGGCCCUUCCUUAUAAUUCCUGCUUACAGGAAGGCAGAGGCUGGAAAAUCUCCUUAGCUCUUGAGUUCUGAACUUGAGUGGGCUAAGCCAAAUAGGUGUCCAUACUAUGCUCGGCAUUAAUAUGGUGAGCUCCUGAGAAUGAGGGACCACCAGAUUUCCUAAAGGGGAACAAAACAGCCCAGAUCAGAAAACAGAGCAUGUCAAAGCAAUUGUGCUUAUCAGAGUGGGUCAGGGCCUGUGAGUUGUACUUGCAGCUUGGGUGAAAUAGGGAGAAUUAGUCUUA